GCCUGUUGCUGCCGAUCGUUGAAAGUCUCGAGACUCAAAAUCCGCCGCCGCAAGGCGUGGGGGUUCGAUUCCCCCUCUCGGCACCA
rnacentral:tRNA from 1 species